rnacentral:rRNA from 1 species
UGCAAGUCGAGCGGUAACAAAGAGUAGCUUGCUACUUUGCUGACGAGCGGCGGACGGGUGAGUAAUGCUUGGGAACAUGCCUUGAGGUGGGGGACAACAGUUGGAAACGACUGCUAAUACCGCAUAAUGUCUACGGACCAAAGGGGGCUUCGGCUCUCGCCUUUAGAUUGGCCCAAGUGGGAUUAGCUAGUUGGUGAGGUAAUGGCUCACCAAGGCAACGAUCCCUAGCUGGUUUGAGAGGAUGAUCAGCCACACUGGGACUGAGACACGGCCCAGACUCCUACGGGAGGCAGCAGUGGGGAAUAUUGCACAAUGGGCGCAAGCCUGAUGCAGCCAUGCCGCGUGUGUGAAGAAGGCCUUCGGGUUGUAAAGCACUUUCAGUCAGGAGGAAAGGUUAGUAGUUAAUACCUGCUAGCUGUGACGUUACUGACAGAAGAAGCACCGGCUAACUCCGUGCCAGCAGCCGCGGUAAUACGGAGGGUGCGAGCGUUAAUCGGAAUUACUGGGCGUAAAGCGUACGCAGGCGGUUUGUUAAGCGAGAUGUGAAAGCCCCGGGCUCAACCUGGGAACUGCAUUUCGAACUGGCAAACUAGAGUGUGAUAGAGGGUGGUAGAAUUUCAGGUGUAGCGGUGAAAUGCGUAGAGAUCUGAAGGAAUACCGAUGGCGAAGGCAGCCACCUGGGUCAACACUGACGCUCAUGUACGAAAGCGUGGGGAGCAA